GCGAGUAGAGGUUGCGUCAAUCAUCAGUACCGGAGCCGGAUGUGGCAGGCACAGGAGAUGGGCCGGGAAAGGGAGAGACGCCGAAGGGAGAUUUUUCCUGUGUGAAUUUCCCUGGGCGCAGGAUGAAGAAUCCUGUGACUGUCAUCCGGGCGUAUGGAGAGCUACUGA
rnacentral:ncRNA from 1 species